rnacentral:rRNA from 1 species
AACGAACGCUGGCGGCAUGCCUAACACAUGCAAGUCGAACGAGAUCUUCGGGUCUAGUGGCGCACGGGUGCGUAACGCGUGGGAAUCUGCCCUUUGGUUCGGAAUAACAGUUGGAAACGACUGCUAAUACCGGAUGAUGACGAAAGUCCAAAGAUUUAUCGCCAGAGGAUGAGCCCGCGUAGGAUUAGCUAGGUGGUGUGGUAAAGGCGCACCAAGGCGACGAUACUUAGCUGGUCAGAGAGGAUGAUCAGCCACACUGGGAGUGAGACACGGCCCAGACUCCUACGGGAGGCAGCAGUGGGGAAUAUUGGACAAUGGGCGAAAGCCUGAUCCAGCAACGCCGCGUGAGUGAUGAAGGCCUUAGGGUUGUAAAGCUCUUUUACCCGGGAUGAUAAUGACAGUACCGGGAGAAUAAGCUCCGGCUAACUCCGUGCCAGCCGCCGCCGUAA